GAUGAACGCUGGCGGCGUGCUUAACACAUGCAAGUCGAACGGAAAGGCCCAAGCUUGCUUGGGUACUCGAGUGGCGAACGGGUGAGUAACACGUGGGUGAUCUGCCCUGCACUUCGGGAUAAGCCUGGGAAACUGGGUCUAAUACCGGAUAGGACGAUGGUUUGGAUGCCAUUGUGGAAAGUUUUUUCGGUGUGGGAUGAGCUCGCGGCCUAUCAGCUUGUUGGUGGGGUAAUGGCCUACCAAGGCGUCGACGGGUAGCCGGCCUGUGUGGGUGUACGGCCGCAUUGGGACUGAGAUACGGCCCAGAAUCCUACGGGAGGCAGGAAUGGGGAAUAUUGCACAAUGGGGGCAGGCCUGAUGCAGCGACGCCGCGUGGGGGAUGACGGCCUUCGGGUUGUAAACUCCUUUCGCUAGGGACGAAGCGUUUUUGUGACGGUACCUGGAGAAGAAGCACCGGCUAACUACGUG
rnacentral:rRNA from 1 species